rnacentral:lncRNA from 1 species
GGAUACAAAGUCUAUUUCAAGACAUCACAGUUUGACUUAGGUCCUACUGAUAACAAAGCUCUUCAAUCAGUUAUCUCUAGCUGUGAGAAAAAUUCAAUCCCCGUUCGUGUUCUUGAUAAUAAACAAGUGUUUGACGAAUAUGGUGGAUUGAUACAGUUGCCAGAAAAUUGGGUUGGUGUUGUUACAGAAUAUGGUGGUGUUAUUAAACCUACAAAAGCUGUGUCUAUGUUUCAAACACUUGCUGUUAAAAAUGGAGCUUUUUUGAAAGAUAAUAUGGAAGUAGUUGAAAUCAAGAAACAUUCUUGAUAAUAAACAAGUGUUUGAUGAAUGUGGUGGAUUGAUUCAGUUGCCGGAAAAUUGGGUUGGUGUUGUUACAGAAUAUGGUGGUGUUAUUAAACCUACAAAAGCUGUGUCUAUGUUUCAAACACUUGCUGUUAAAAAUGGAGCUUUUUUGAAAGAUAAUAUGGAAGUAGUUGAAAUCAAGAAAGUUGAAGGGGGUGUUUUGGUUAAAGUUAAAAGUGGUGAGGUGUUUUGGGGU